rnacentral:lncRNA from 1 species
CCAUGUUCAUCCAAGAAAAACAUCUCGAAUAUGAAUAUGUUCGUCCCCGCCUCUCAGAACUUGGGCCUUUGUGCGAGGCCCCACACAAACUUCAUCGUAUGAAAAAUGGACGAUGAACUGAAGGGUCGAUCAGUGUUAGCCCUAACUAUCGCCAACCAUCGGGCCUCCUCUCUAAAUUGUUAUGCCUGGUCCUUUCCGAUAACAACAUCGUCCAAUUCUUCAUCUAAUAGCUCCAUGUUCUUCAACAUCUCCUCAAGGUCCUCCUCAUCCUUUCGUCCCGAUCACGGUGAUGAUCCCAUCUCCGCCGCCAUCACGCCUAGAUAGGUCGCCUAGGCUUCCCUUGCCGUGAUUGGCAACGGCGGCUCGAUUAAUCUCCUCAGAGUCACGAAUCCUCCCGCCGACAAAUGAGAUCGCCAGCGGAGAUAAGGGGAACCAUAAACGAGAGGGUAUUUUUUUGGGUGGAUUAAAAAACAUGUCUUAAUUAUUAUUUUUGUGACAAACAUAUCUUAAAUGCAAAGGCUGAAAAUGAAAACAAGUCUGGACAACCUGUUGGGCCGACCCAUCAACCGUAAGGUGUGUGUGUAGCCGAGGGAAAUCCCUAUUUGACGCUCUAUGUGUCGCCUUGUCAGGGCUUCGCA